AUGACCACGACGUACAGUCUCAGGCCAACAUUCGCACACUAUUGGUGCAUGGCGAAUCUGUAUGUGAGUGUUGGCCUUUUGGAAGAAGUAGAGGGCCUCUUGAAGAGCGUGCCAGAGGAGCUGAAGGCACGUGCAUUGGGUGGUUUGCUCGGGCUGUGCCGGUUCAGAGGGGAAUGGAAACUUGGGGAACGUAUAGCCCUCAGGUUGAUCGAGCUGGAACCAAGCAACUGUGCUCACUAUGCUCUGUUGUGUAGUGUAUAUGCUUCGGCGGGAAGAUGGGAAGAUACUCACAGGGUGAAGGCUAUCAUAAAGGAAAGCGAUGAGAGGUUCAGUCCUGGACACCGUCUUGUGGAUCUAAAUGAGAUUGCUAACGAAUUCAAAAUUAGGGAGAGGCAACCUGAGAACCAGGAAAUAUAUGUUAUCCUGGAUGACUUGGUGUCAAAGCUGCAGUUUACAAGCAGAGAAGAUGAGCAAACUGAACCAGGGAUAAAAUAG
rnacentral:rRNA from 1 species